rnacentral:rRNA from 1 species
UACGUAGGGGGCAAGCGUUGUCCGGAAUUACUGGGCGUAAAGCGCCCGUAGGCGGCCUGACAAGUUGGACGUGAAAGCUCCUGGCUUAACUGGGAGAGGCCGUUCAAAACUGUCAAGCUAGAGUCUGGAAGAGGAGAGCGGAAUUCCCGGUGUAGUGGUGGAAUGCGUAGAGAUCGGGAGGAACACCAGUGGCGAAAGCGGCUCUCUGGUCCAAAACUGACGCUGAGGGGCGAAAGCGUGGGGAGCGAACGGG